GCUAUACAUGCAGUCGAGCGGACAGAAGGGAGCUUGCUCCCGGAUGUUAGCGGCGGACGGGUGAGUAACACGUGGGUAACCUGCCUGUAAGACUGGGAUAACUCCGGGAAACCGGAGCUAAUACCGGAUAGUUCCUUGAACCGCAUGGUUCAAGGAUGAAAGACGGUUUCGGCUGUCACUUACAGAUGGACCCGCGGCGCAUUAGCUAGUUGGUGAGGUAACGGCUCACCAAGGCGACGAUGCGUAGCCGACCUGAGAGGGUGAUCGGCCACACUGGGACUGAGACACGGCCCAGACUCCUACGGGAGGCAGCAGUAGGGAAUCUUCCGCAAUGGACGAAAGUCUGACGGAGCAACGCCGCGUGAGUGAUGAAGGUUUUCGGAUCGUAAAGCUCUGUUGUUAGGGAAGAACAAGUGCAAGAGUAACUGCUUGCACCUUGACGGUACCUAACCAGAAAGCCACGGCUAACUACGUGCCAGCAGCCGCGGUAAUACGUAGGUGGCAAGCGUUGUCCGGAAUUAUUGGGCGUAAAGGGCUCGCAGGCGGUUUCUUAAGUCUGAUGUGAAAGCCCCCGGCUCACCCGGGGAGGGUCAUUGGAAACUGGGAAACUUGAGUGCAGAAGAGGAGAGUGGAAUUCCACGUGUAGCGGUGAAAUGCGUAGAGAUGUGGAGGAANACCAGUGGCGAAGGCGA
rnacentral:rRNA from 1 species